GCCUUUUGUUAUUAUUUAAGGUCUGACCUGCUCAAUGAGGAAUUAAAUGGCCGCGGUAUUUUGACCGUGCAAAGGUAGCAUAAUCAUUAGUUUUUUAAUUGAAAGCUGGCAUGAAAGGUUGGAUAAGAAAAUAGCUGUCUCUUAAAAAUUUUAUUAGAAUUUUAUUUUUAAGUAAAAAAGCUUAAAUAAUAUUUAAAGACGAGAAGACCCUUUAGAGUUUCAUAUAAUUUUGUAAUUUAUGAUUUUAGAAUUGAUUGUUUUUAUUAAGAAUUUAUAUUUGAUUGGGGUGAUCGAAAAAUUUAAUAAACUUUUUUUUAUUAGACCAUUAAUUUAUGCUUAAAUGAUCCAUUAUUUAUGAUUAUAAGAAUAAAUUACCUAAGGGAUAACAGCGUUAUUUUUUUUGAGAGUUCAUAUCGAAAAAAAAGAUUGCGACCUCGAUGUUGGAUUAAAAUUAAAUUAUGGUGUAGCAGCUAUAACUUUAGGUCUGUUCGACCUUUAAAAUUUU
rnacentral:rRNA from 2 species